GGACCCGCACAAGUAGUGGAGCAUGUGGUUUAAUUCGAUGCAACGCGAAGAACCUUACCUGGUCUUGACAUCCUGCGAACUUUCUAGAGAUAGAUUGGUGCCUUCGGGAACGCAGUGACAGGUGCUGCACGGCUGUCGUCAGCUCGUGUUGUGAAAUGUUGGUUAAGUCCCCGCAACGAGCGCAACCCCCUAUUGAUAGUUACCAUCAUUAAGUUGGGUACUCUAUUGAGACUGCCGCUGACAAGGCGGAGGAAGGUGGGGACGACGUCAAGUCAUCAUGGCCCUUACGACCAGGGCUACACACGUGCUACAAUGGGUAUUACAGAGGGCUGCGAAGGUGCGAGCUGGAG
rnacentral:rRNA from 1 species